GGCCUCGUAGCGUAAUGGUUAACGCGCUAGAUUUCGGCACAUCACCGUGAAAUGCUCUAGAGAUUGGGAGUUCGAAUCUUCCCGGGGUCG